AAUACUUGUGGCAUUGCUGUAAUUUGGGAGUACUGAAAGUGUAGAGUGCUAAGGGCUUCGAAUGGGGAUUAGGCUGGUCUUGUCCUAGACCUAGGGCAGCACAGGAUGCCGUCGCCGCCGCCGUCGGGAGGGCAUCCCACAUCGACGCCCGCCGGUCCCGUCGCCGGUUGGGCAGUUAGCCGCCGGUCCGCAACCGCCAUCGCAAGCCGCUCCCCCAUCGACGCCGACGCCGUGGGAUGGCACUCCCGCGCCGACUCCCAUCGGUCUGGUAGCCCAACGGCGGCCGGUCCGUAGCGGCCGUCGCAAGCCGCUCCGGCCAACCGUGCAUGUACAUGGACGCCGGCCUCGCCGCCACCGUCACAGCGCUCCGCUACCUGCACCGACCUGGCACACCUGGCGCACGUCCUGCUCCAAUUCCGCCUCACCUACAUCUCCAGCGAGUCCCUCGUCGUCAGCUGCGUCAAGCUUGUCUGGGACUCCCGCGCCAUCGCCGCGCACUACGCCCGCUCCCUCAAGGGUCUCUAGUUUGACAUCUUCGUCAUCCUGCCCAUCCCACAGGUGUUUAUACGACUUGGGCGUCUUCUAUUGAACUGGCAGAACAUAUUCCGGUAUGGUUCUCUGAGCACAAGAAAGAUGUUGAAACCAGGAGGUUCAGCUGAAAGAGGUAGUAACACAGAAAUUGGACGAGGCAACUGGGAUUUCUGCAUGCCCUGUUAUGAAAUGUUAGGAUAUUAUCGUCCAUUCUGUCUAAAAAUAUGUUUGUUGCAAUGCAGGUUCCUAAGCUUAGAAAAGAUUACAUUGAUGGGGUUUCUGUCUAGCUGAUACUUAUGACAUGCUUUUGGAAGAGAAACGUGCUUUUGGAAGAUUACAUUGAUGAGGUUUCUGCCUGUUCCAAUGAUUUAGGAGCUUAAGGAGACCGCACCUUGCAUUUUGUAAACAAAUUAGGUAAAGUAGCUGGCUGUAUUUGUUGGCUUGUGUACAUUUGGUUUCCGAAUUGUAUUUGUGUAACCAAUCCAUGUUGGUUGGAAUUACUUUGUGAUGUAUAUAUGAUGUUUGGCUCACAAACCAGAUUGUACUGCUGCUGUAAAUUAUUUCUACAGAUUGAGUGAUGAAAUGUGUGAUAGCAUGAAAGAAUAUA